GUGCUUGCUUCGUCAACACAUAUACUAAAAUUGGAAUGAUACAGAGAUUAGCAUGGCUCCUGCACAAGGAUGACACGCAAAUUCAUGAAGCGCUUGAUAUUUUU